GUAUUGUAUUGCGUUAAACGCAGAUGCAUUCCAUGAGACUUUGUUACAGUGUGUGUGUAAAGAUGCAGAACCACAGCAGGAGGACAGGUCCCCCCAACCACAGAACUACAGAGGGUGCACAGGGUGUGAGUGGAUGUGUUAACAGAGCGUGCACAUGCCCCCGUUUGAGGACCAGCAACAACUCUUGUUGACAAUUCGGUAAUGAUCCUUCCGCAGGUUCACCUACGGAAA
rnacentral:misc_RNA from 1 species